GGGGAGCUAGUCUCCUCAGUGAUGCAGCUAACGCAAUAAGCAUCCCGCCUGGGGAGUACGGUCGCAAGAUUAAAACUCAAAGGAAUAGACGGGGACCCGCACAAGUGGUGGAGCAUGUGGUUUAAUUCGAAGAUACGCGAAGAACCUUACCUGGCCUUGACAUCCCGCGAACCCUCCAGAGAUGGAGGGGUGCCCCUUUAUGGGGAGCGCGGUGACAGGUGCUGCACGGCUGUCGUCAGCUCGUGUCGUGAGAUGUUGGGUUAAGUCCCGCAACGAGCGCAGCCCUCGUGUCUAGUUGCUAACAGUUAGGCUGAGCACUCUAGACAGACUGCCCUCGCAAGGGGGAGGAAGGUGAGGACGACGUCAAGUCAUCAUGGUCCUUACGGCCAGGGCGACACACGUGCUACAAUGGGUAGGACAAUGAGAGGCGAUACCGCGAGGUGGAGCAAAUCUAUAAACCUACUCUCAGUUCGGAUUGUAGUCUGCAACUCGACUACAUGAAGCUGGAAUCACUAGUAAUCGUGGAUCAGCCAUGCCACGGUGAAUACGUUCCCGGGUCUUGUACUCACCGCCCGUCACACCAUGGGAGUUGAGUUCACCCGAAGCGGGGAAGCUAAACUGGCUACCUGCCACGGUGGGCUCAGCGACUGGGGUGAAGUCGUAACAAGGUA
rnacentral:rRNA from 1 species